UGUGUAUGUUUACUUAACUUGGGACUUAUAUAAUUUGCAAAAUUGUUCCUGCGCAUUGAGGGAGUAUAGUUUUUAAGCAAAGAAAAUUUUUUGUGUCUAUACUAACGAUAAAGCUGGAAAUAAUCAAAACGAAAGUUGCGUAUAUUUCGCUAUCAACUCUUCCGUUGUCAUGGUGCAGUUGAGAGGAUUUAUGAUGUUCGUUGAUGAUUGUAAUGUUUUCAAAAUUGGUUACGUCGCAAUAAUUUUCCAGCUGAGUCUCAAGAUUUAUGUUGCUAUACUUCCUUGUUCUUGUUUCAAUUAAAAACUGUAUAUGAUUCUCUGAGAUAUUUUUAACUUAACACGCACUACAGGUGAAAGAGUUCUUAUUUGUAAAUAAUUAAACACCGGAUAUACAUCCGUAUUUGCAGAAGAUAAAAGAGUUAUCAUGAAAUCGCAAAGUGGAACGAUGUCCAUUCCCCGAGAGUGUCCGCUUAAUACGGGUUUGAUUGUAAUUCAAAUACUUUGCUUACAUACACAUACAGUUUCUGUAGCAAAAACGUGAAUAAAAAAUAUAUAUUUAUACGUGCAGAACA